UAUAAGCGCCAUAGUCCGGCUGCGCAGAGUUCAUUUUACGGACGGACGGUAAGACGGGCUUUCGUCGUCGUUUAUGCCAUAAGAAAGGUAUACAUGUCUGACGGUCACCCCGUGGCUUUGUUGGGUUAGGCUAUGACGACGGGGUGGGCCGGAACGAUUGGAAAAGCUUAAUGGGUCAUCCCGUAGCUCUGUGGGGUUAGGCUAUGACGACGGGGUGGGCCCGAACGAUUGGAAAAGCUUAAUGAGUUUUGUGAUUUUUAAAGGGACUUAUUACGUAAUAUUUUCUUAUGUUUGUCACAAUUACAAUACAGACACGUCAUGCAGUAAACGGUAUAGUACCAGAAAGGCCGUUUACCAAAAAGGCCUUACCAAAAAGGCCUUCCCAAAAAGGCCGCAAAAGUGAACCAAAAAGGCCUCAUGGUAUACCAGAAAGGCCAUACAAUAUCUUGUACUAUCAUUGAACAGUUAUGCUGAUAUUUUAUUAUCAUAUAUAUCAAAUAGUCAUAUUAAUUCUGGUUUUAACUUUUAGUCUACUUAAAAGUCGUUAAUUUGAUAAUCAAAGUCGGCAAAAAUUGUUGGACUUUAUUUGGCGUUUUAAAUAUAGUGUUUUUAUAUCGUGUAAAUGAUACGUAUUUCUUCACGAGUGUUAAUUUCUUGUGUGUUGACAUUAAUUCUUUGAGUGUUGUGGUAUGACCUCCUAUCCUUGUGUAUGAUGCGGUCAAGAGGUGCGGCCCCGCCAGCAUGCAGUUGAGUGCGACUGGUGCAACCGAUGACAACACCGCACAGGUGGCACAGGCAUAACCCAGACAGCAUAUCGGGAGACGAUGCGUCUCGGGAAAAGUAACGUAUGUGUGUCGUCCAUGCAUAGACGCAGAGGCCCUGGACAACGAAAUGCCCGUCCUAGAGAUAAGCGUAGUGAUAUUAUUUUUGUAAUCUGACGAUUUAUUUAUUUAUUUAUUUAAGCUCAAUUGCACCGAAAGCCUUAGCCGAGUCACUCUCGAGUCCUUUUCCUGUGAUUUGUGAAACGGUGACCAGUGAUUAAAUACUAGUAAUAUAGUAAUAUCAUCGUAACUUCAACAAUAAAAUUUGGUUAUACAUGUCAUGUUCAUAUGGCACAAUUUCUACAUAGGCCACAGUUCCCCAGGUUGACGACGACGACGAUGCCGGUGACGAUCGCCCGAUGCCACUGCUAGAAGUGAGUGUCCCUAGUGAUGAGUCAUGUGAUCGCGACCCUUAUGCCGACCUGGUUGAUCCAUACGCAGAUGACACUGUAGUCGAGAGGUAACCACUUCGUUCAGAAGAGGGAGCACAUGCAUGCUGCAGUGCCAGAUCAGGAACUGAGACACCAUGCGUACUCAAAGGCCCGAGCAGCAGCGAAAACCGGCGUCUUCGUUCCGGCCCGCAAAAUUGCCGAGAACGAUCUUACGUAAUAAAGACAAAAAAAAAACAUUUUUAAGAAUAAUAUGAUGUUAUGAUGUUUUGUUUUGUCAGUGUGACUGUAUAUUGUCUGUUAAUGUUUGCUUGAAUAUGUAAAUUUUGUUAUAUAAAUUGUGUG